rnacentral:misc_RNA from 1 species
UGUGGGAGCGAGCUUGCUCGCGAUAGCGGUGGGUCAGCCAGUACUUGUGCGACUGAUGCGGCGCUAUCGCGAGCAAGCUCGCUCCCACA